rnacentral:rRNA from 2 species
CGUUAAGUUGCAGGGUAUAGACCCGAAACCCGGUGAUCUAGCCAUGGGCAGGUUGAAGGUUGGGUAACACUAACUGGAGGACCGAACCGACUAAUGUUGAAAAAUUAGCGGAUGACCUGUGGCUGGGGGUGAAAGGCCAAUCAAACCGGGAGAUAGCUGGUUCUCCCCGAAAGCUAUUUAGGUAGCGCCUCGUGAAUUCAUCUCCGGGGGUAGAGCACUGUUUCGGCUAGGGGGCCAUCCCGGCUUACCAACCCGAUGCAAACUGCGAAUACCGGAGAAUGUUAUCACGGGAGACACACGGCGGGUGCUAACGUCCGUCGUGAAGAGGGAAACAACCCAGACCGCCAGCUAAGGUCCCAAAGUCAUGGUUAAGUGGGAAACGAUGUGGGAAGGCCCAGACAGCCAGGAUGUUGGCUUAGAAGCAGCCAUCAUUUAAAGAAAGCGUAAUAGCUCACUGGUCGAGUCGGCCUGCGCGGAAGAUGUAACGGGGCUAAACCAUGCACCGAAGCUGCGGCAGCGACGCUGAUGCGUUGUUGGGUAGGGGAGCGUUCUGUAAGCCUGCGAAGGUGGCCUGUGAGGGUUGCUGGAGGUAUCAGAAGUGCGAAUGCUGACAUAAGUAACGAUAAAGCGGGUGAAAAGCCCGCUCGCCGGAAGACCAAGGGUUCCUGUCCAACGUUAAUCGGGGCAGGGUGAGUCGACCCCUAAGGCGAGGCCGAAAGGCGUAGUCGAUGGGAAACGGGUUAAUAUUCCCGUACUUGGUGUUACUGCGAAGGGGGGACGGAGAAGGCUAUGUUGGCCGGGCGACGGUUGUCCCGGUUUAAGCGUGUAGGUGUGUGUUCCAGGUAAAUCCGGUUCACUUUAACACUGAGGCGUGAUGACGAGGCACUACGGUGCUGAAGCAACAAAUGCCCUGCUUCCAGGAAAAGCCUCUAAGCAUCAGGUAACAUCAAAUCGUACCCCAAACCGACACAGGUGGUCAGGUAGAGAAUACCAAGGCGCUUGAGAGAACUCGGGUGAAGGAACUAGGCAAAAUGGUGCCGUAACUUCGGGAGAAGGCACGCUGACACGUAGGUGAAGUGAUUUACUCAUGGAGCUGAAGUCAGUCGAAGAUACCAGCUGGCUGCAACUGUUUAUUAAAAACACAGCACUGUGCAAACACGAAAGUGGACGUAUACGGUGUGACGCCUGCCCGGUGCCGGAAGGUUAAUUGAUGGGGUCAGCGCAAGCGAAGCUCCUGAUCGAAGCCCCGGUAAACGGCGGCCGUAACUAUAACGGUCCUAAGGUAGCGAAAUUCCUUGUCGGGUAAGUUCCGACCUGCACGAAUGGCGUAAUGAUGGCCAGGCUGUCUCCACCCGAGACUCAGUGAAAUUGAACUCGCUGUGAAGAUGCAGUGUACCCGCGGCAAGACGGAAAGACCCCGUGAACCUUUACUAUAGCUUGACACUGAACAUUGAGCCUUGAUGUGUAGGAUAGGUGGGAGGCUUUGAAGUGUGGACGCCAGUCUGCAUGGAGCCGACCUUGAAAUACCACCCUUUAAUGUUUGAUGUUCUAACGUGGACCCGUGAUCCGGGUUGCGGACAGUGUCUGGUGGGUAGUUUGACUGGGGCGGUCUCCUCCUAAAGAGUAACGGAGGAGCACGAAGGUUGGCUAAUCCUGGUCGGACAUCAGGAGGUUAGUGCAAUGGCAUAAGCCAGCUUGACUGCGAGCGUGACGGCGCGAGCAGGUGCGAAAGCAGGUCAUAGUGAUCCGGUGGUUCUGAAUGGAAGGGCCAUCGCUCAACGGAUAAAAGGUACUCCGGGGAUAACAGGCUGAUACCGCCCAAGAGUUCAUAUCGACGGCGGUGUUUGGCACCUCGAUGUCGGCUCAUCACAUCCUGGGGCUGAAGUAGGUCCCAAGGGUAUGGCUGUUCGCCAUUUAAAGUGGUACGCGAGCUGGGUUUAGAACGUCGUGAGACAGUUCGGUCCCUAUCUGCCGUGGGCGCUGGAGAACUGAGGGGGGCUGCUCCUAGUACGAGAGGACCGGAGUGGACGCAUCACUGGUGUUCGGGUUGUCAUGCCAAUGGCACUGCCCGGUAGCUAAAUGCGGAAGAGAUAAGUGCUGAAAGCAUCUAAGCACGAAACUUGCCCCGAGAUGAGUUCUCCCUGAGACUUUAGGUCUCCUGAAGGAACGUUGAAGACGACGACGUUGAUAGGCCGGGUGUGUAAGCGCAGCGAUGCGUUGAGCUAACCGGUACUAAUGAACCGUGAGGCUUAACCUUACA